GAUGAAGAACGUAGCGAAAUGCGAUAAGUAGUGUGAAUUGCAGAAUUCAGUGAAUCAUCGAAUCUUUGAACGCACAUUGCGCCCCUUGGUAUUCCAUGGGGCAUGCCUGUUCGAGCGUCAUUUGUGCCCUCAAGCUAAGCUUGGUGUUGGGUGUUUGUCCACUCCCUCGUGUUUGGACUCGCCUUAAAACAAUUGGCAGCCAGUGUUUUGGUAUUGAAGCGCAGCACAAUUUGCGAUUCUAGCCUAGAAUACUAGCAUCCAUCAAGUCAUUUUUAACGCUUGACCUCGGAUCAGGUAGGGAUACCCGCUGAACUUAAGCAUAUCAAUAAGCGGAGGA
rnacentral:misc_RNA from 1 species